rnacentral:rRNA from 1 species
GAUCCUGGCUCAGGAUGAACGCUGGCGGCGUGCUUAACACAUGCAAGUCGAGCGAAGCACUUAAGUUUGAUUCUUCGGAUGAAGACUUUUGUGACUGAGCGGCGGACGGGUGAGGUAACGCGUGGGUAACCUGCCUCAUACAGGGGGAUAACAGUUAGAAAUGGCUGCUAAUACCGCAUAAGACCACGGUACUGCAUGGUACAGUGGUAAAAACUCCGGUGGUAUGAGAUGGACCCGCGUUGG